GACGAACCGUGCGAACGUUAUUCGGAAUCACUGGGCUUAAAGCGCGUGUAGGCGGCCCGGCACGUCGGACGCUGAAAUCCCCCGGCUCAACCGGGGAACGGGCGCCGAUACGACCGGGCUGGAGGGGGGGUAGGGGGCGCCGGAACUUCCGGUGGAGCGGUGAAAUGCGUUGAGAUCGGAAGGAACGCCCGUGGCGAAAGCGGGCGCUGGACCCCACCUGACGCUGAGACGCGAAAGCCAGGGGAGCGAACGGG
rnacentral:rRNA from 1 species